AUCCACCAGCCUCGGCCUCCCAAAGUGCUGGGAUUACAGGAGCAGCCCUGCCUCAGUGACAGCAAAAAGUGGCAACCAAGAAAGCUAUUUCCAUGAUUCACCAGGAACACUGGCUAAAUUGCAUAAGCCACAUCCCUGAAAUGCUAGAUCUUCCUUCUUUCAAUCUUGGUUUUCCUACCCACUUGUGCACCCAGCGGUGGUCUUCAGUUGAGCCAUCGAGUCUUUGGGAAUCCACAGAAUGUUUAGAUUUGCCCUGGGAGUGAUGCUGACCACCAAAGAGACACAGCUAUGGAGGUUCUGAAA